rnacentral:rRNA from 1 species
AGGACGAACGCUGGCGGCGUGCUUAACACAUGCAAGUCGAGCGGUAAGGCCUUUCGGGGUACACGAGCGGCGAACGGGUGAGUAACACGUGGGUGAUCUGCCCUGCACUUCGGGAUAAGCCUGGGAAACUGGGUCUAAUACCGGAUAUGACCUCCUAUCGCAUGGUGGGUGGUGGAAAGAUUUAUCGGUGCAGGAUGGGCCCGCGGCCUAUCAGCUUGUUGGUGGGGUAAUGGCCUACCAAGGCGACGACGGGUAGCCGACCUGAGAGGGUGACCGGCCACACUGGGACUGAGACACGGCCCAGACUCCUACGGGAGGCAGCAGUGGGGAAUAUGCACAAUGGGCGAAAGCCUGAUGCAGCGACGCCGCGUGAGGGAUGACGGCCUUCGGGUUGUAAACCUCUUUCAGCAGGACGAAGCGCAAGUGACGGUACCUGCAGAAGAAGCACCGGCUAACUACGUGCCAAGCAGCCGC